rnacentral:rRNA from 1 species
GACGAACGCUGGCGGCGUGCUUAACACAUGCAAGUCAAGGGGGCCCAGCAAUGGGCAACCGGCGAACGGGUGCGUAACACGUGAGCAACCUACCGAAAUGUGGGGGAUAGCCGGCCUAACGGCCGAGUAAUACCGCAUACGCUUUUCUAGAGGCAUUUCUGGAAAAGGAAGCCUACGGGACAUUUCGAGGGGCUCGCGGCCUAUCAGCUAGUUGGCGAGGUAACGGCUCACCAAGGCAACGACGGGUAGCUGGUCUGAGAGGAUGGCCAGCCACAUUGGGACUGAGAUACGGCCCAGACUCCUACGGGAGGCAGCAGUGGGGAAUCUUGCGCAAUGGCCUAACGGCUGACGCAGCGACGCCGCGUGAGGGAUGACGGCCU